AGCGAACGCUGGCGGCAGGCCUAACACAUGCAAGUCGAACGAAGUCUUCGGACUUAGUGGCGGACGGGUGAGUAACACGUGGGAACGUACCUUUUGGUUCGGAACAACUCAGGGAAACUUGAGCUAAUACCGGAUGAGCCCUCAGGGGGAAAGAUUUAUCGCCGAAAGAGCGGCCCGCGUUAGAUUAGCUAGUUGGUGGGGUAAAGGCUCACCAAGGCUACGAUCUAUAGCUGGUCUGAGAGGAUGAUCAGCCACACUGGGACUGAGACACGGCCCAGACUCCUACGGGAGGCAGCAGUGGGGAAUCUUGCGCAAUGGGCGAAAGCCUGACGCAGCCAUGCCGCGUGAAUGAUGAAGGUCUUAGGAUUGUAAAAUUCUUUUACCAGGGACGAUAAUGACGGUACCUGGAGAAAAAGCCCCGGCUAACUUCGUGCCAGCCGCCGCAGUAACAC
rnacentral:rRNA from 1 species